rnacentral:lncRNA from 1 species
UCCACGUAUCAUCAGCCAUACCCAGUUUGACUCGGAAGCGGAGGUGGUGGGCCCUGCUGUGGCUGGUGGUGAUGGUGAUCAGCGGUGGGAGGCGAUGGCGCGGCGGAGGACCUGGACGAGGACGGCGGGGGAGCUGAGGUGGGGGAGGUGGCCCUCGAUGGGGAGGAGCUCGAUGGUGGUGCGGCCGCCGAGGUGGGCCUUGAGGUAGGCGGCGACGGAGGCGGGGACGGAGACGUCCUUGGCGGUCUGGACGACGACGCAGGGGGUGCGGACGAGGCCCAGCACCCCGCGCAGGUCGCUGUUUACCACCGUCCGCGACACGAACAGCGAGAUGUCCGGCCUCAUGUUGAACAGCGUCCGGCUGAACUCCCGCACCGCCGCCGGCACGUCCGCCCCCACCGCCAGCGGCGCGAACCCCUGCACCCACGCCUCGUAGUUCGCCUCCAUCGCCGCGAAUACCUUCUCGAACUCUUCCCUCUCGAAGCCCCCAUGGUAGUCUCCAUCAUUCAGGAACCUACCCAGCAUCCCAGACAAGAACAGCAAACACCUCACCCAAAUCAGUCGCCAGAAACUGCUGUACCAAGU